UACGGAGGGUGCAAGCGUUGACCGGAUUUAUUGGGCGUAAAGAGCUCGUAGGUGGUUUGGUAAGUCGGAUGUGAAAUCUCCAGGCUCAACCUGGAGGGGUCAUUCGAUACUGCCAUGACUAGAGGUCGGUAGGGGAGUGUGGAAUUCCUGGUGGAGCGGUGAAAUGCGCAGAUAUCAGGAGGAACACCCGUAGCGAAGGCGGCACUCUGGGCCGAUUCUGACACUGAGGAGCGAAAGCGUGGGGAGCGAACAGG
rnacentral:rRNA from 1 species